rnacentral:rRNA from 1 species
GACGUAGGGCGCAAGCGUUGUCCGGAUUUAUUGGGCGUAAAGAGCGUGUAGGCGGCUAGGUAGGUCCGUUGUGAAAGCCCCCGGCUCAACUGGGGAGGGUCAUUCGAUACUGAUCGACUCGAAGGCAGGAGAGGGUAGUGGAAUUCCCGGUGUAGUGGUGAAAUGCGUAGAUAUCGGGAGGAACACCAGUGGCGAAGGCGACUACCUGGCCUGUUUCUUGACGCUGAGGCGCGAAAGCUAGGGGAGCAAACGGG